rnacentral:lncRNA from 1 species
CUCAGUGAAGGAAAGGAACAACAAAAACAAAACCAAAGAACAUUAGUACUUCAACGGAAAUAGCGUAAAUAAUUAUCUAAACAUAAGAACCAUAAAUAAAAUAGUAUGUAAUAAUAAUAAUAAACAGUAUCAACCACAAAUAACUACCAUAAGAGGGAUACCAUAAAAGGGGGGAGACACAACCCAAUACACAAAUCGUCUAUGGAUAGCCAAGUAAGGCUCACCCAACCCCGAGUGAGGAGUACCAAUACUCUAGGAGCCCCUAUCCUAUAACCCUAAUACUAGACCUCCAGACUUUCCUAUCGAGGGCCAUGUCCUUAGAAACCCGCAUUCUAGCCAUGUCAUGCCUAAUCACCUCUCCCCAAUAC